UAAGUUCAGCCCACAAUUAAACAAAAUAGUUUAGGCCCACAAAAAGAUAAAAUAAAGUAGCAGCCCAAAUUCUCGCCAACUCAGCAAAAAUAAAGCAGUUCGGACGUUCAGACGGUAUGGGCACACCGUCCAGCCUGCGCGUACAUCUUUCUUACUUCCCAAUUUUUCUCCUUCAUCUAAAUCUGUUCCUCUUCCUCAAAUCCUCUGGAGAAGGCGAAGAUGAAAAGCCCCAAUUUUUCUCCUUCAUCUAAAUCGUGCCCUAGCUCUUCCUCUGCCCAAAUCGUCGCCACCCUGCUGCAACUUCCGGCGGCAUCGCCGCCCUCCGUGGCUCUGAAACUCCGGCAAAGUCGACGCCGUGCACUGGAGCGUCUUUCUCUCUCAAUUCCCGUUCACAAUAGAGCUCGUCUGCUGGCGAAUGGAGCUCGCCCUUCUCUCUUUCUCGUCCGCCGCGAAUAGCUCCAGCGAGGCCGGCUGUCGCCGCCUCUGAAAUUAGCGACGCCAGCGCCGUCCCCUGCUCCACAUCUCACAUCCUCACUCACGCGCACCCGACGAAGGCAAGGGUCGUGCCCAGUCCUCCCAUCACAAAUCGGCGCGCAGCCACCGCCGUGCUCGUCGCAUCGCCACUCCUCCAUCUCAGGUAAGAAGAUAGGAGUCUCAGUUGAGGUGUGAGUAAGCCUCUGGUGUUCCUUCAACUUAAUUACAUUCCUUAUUUGAACAGUGAGCACGUGGAAUUGUGUGGUGAGUGUUUAUUAUUGGCUGUGUGUAAAGUUGCAAAGCUGGAAGCUUUUUGAAGUUUUUUCCACCAUUGCAACCAAAAUUCUUCACGUGUUAUCUCACAUUUUUCUGCCUAAAUAUUUGUGAAGUUUGAGUAUUCUGGUUGUAGUUGUUGCUAUUUGACAUGUUGUGGAAUCAUGGGCUGUGUUUUGAUUUUGUGAUUGCAGUUGUGGGCAUUUGUUUUGCAUAGUUUCUUAACCUGUGGGAUUCAGUAAAAAAAAUUGUGUAUUUGCUGAAGGUUGUUCCAAUGGAAAAUUUGAAUGGCCGCAAACUUGUUGAAGAUGGAGAGCUUUGUGAAAGAAGAAAUGGUGUCGCUUUAUUUGUUGCUAGGUUUCAUAUGAUGGAUAAUUUCAUGUUAGAAUAUUUUAUUGAGCUUGAUGUAAGAUGUUUGUAUGAUGGAUAAUAUUUCAAUGUAUGAUGAUAAAUAAUAUUUGAAAUUAAUGAUGAUUUUUUUUAUUAUUCA